UGAGAGAACUCUCCAUCUCUCCUCUCUCCUCUCAUCUCUCUCAGCCUCCUCAUCCUUCCUCUCCUCCCUCUCUUCACCUCUCUCUCUCUCUCUCUCUCUCUCGUCCGCUCUCUCGUCUCUCUCUCGGCUCCCGCCUCUCCCUCCCGUCGCCCCUCACUCUCUCUCUCUCUUCCCCCCCCCCUCUCCCCUCUCUCUCUCGCUCAUCUCUCUUCUCUCACAGUCAUCUCUCCUCUCUCUCGAUCCCUCUCCUCAUCCUCUCUCUCUCCUCCUCCUUCGCUCUCCUCCUCUCUCUCCCUCUCUCUCUCUCACUCUAUCCUCUCUCUCCAUAUCGCUCUCAUCUCGCUCCUCUCUCUCUCCGCUGCUCUCUCCCAUCUCAUUCUCUCUCCUCCUCUCUCUCUCCCUCCUCUCUCCUCUCUCGCCGUCUCUCCGCUCUCUCUUCUCUAUCUCGCCCCGCUUCUCUCUCCUCCUCCCUCUCUCUCCCCUCCUCUCGCUCCCCUCUCUCUCCUCUCCUCUCGCCUCUCUUCCCUCCUCUCUCUCUCUCUCUCUCUCUCUCUCUCCGCUCCUCUCUUCUCUCCUCUCUCUCUCUCUCUCUCCUCUCCUCUCUCUCCUCUACUUCUCUCUUCUACUCUCCCUCUCUCUCUCUCUCUCUGCUCUCUCCCUCUCCUCUCUUCAUCUCGCUUCUCUUCCUCAACUCUCAAUCUCUCUCUCGUCUCUCUCAUCCUCUCCCCUCCGACCUCUCCUCUCUCUCUCCUCUCUCUCUCUCUCCUCCUUCUCUCUCUCUCCCCUCCUCCUCUCUCUCUCCUCUCUCUCUAUCUCUCGCCUCCUGCCACGAGAGUUAAAAAAACGAUGUCAGUUUAUGACCAAUUAAAAGAUGUGACCAUUCAAAUAAAGUCAUCCCACCAACAUUAGUUAGCUCAUCCCAAAGCGCCUCCCUGUCCACAUGUUACUUUGAGCUAGUAAUGAGAUCGGUGUCGUAACGACUUCAGUGGGUAAAUUGUUUGUUUUUAUGACAGUAUUGUUUGUUUUCUAUAUCACAUUUUAA
rnacentral:lncRNA from 1 species